rnacentral:rRNA from 1 species
GACGAACGCUGGCGGCGUGCUUAACACAUGCAAGUCGAGCGGAAAGGCCCUUUCGGGGGUACUCGAGCGGCGAACGGGUGAGUAACACGUGAGUAAUCUACCCUUGGGCUUUGGGAUAACCACCGGAAACGGUGGCUAAUACCGGAUAUGACGGGCUCCGGCAUCGGGUUCGUGGAAAGUUUUUUCGGCCAGGGAUGUGCUCGCGGCCUAUCAGCUUGUUGGUGGGGUAAUGGCCUACCAAGGCCUCGACGGGUAGCCGGCCUGAGAGGGUGACCGGCCACACUGGGACUGAGACACGGCCCAGACUCCUACGGGAGGCAGCAGUGGGGAAUAUUGGACAAUGGGCGGAAGCCUGAUCCAGCAACGCCGCGUGAGGGAUGA